CUAAACGCCAAUUUUCUCUUCUUGCAGAGUCUCUCUGCUUCUCCCAUUAGAUCCAAUCGCAUUAGAUUCCAUGCCCCAUUAUGGCAUGGUGCUUUGUCGGAUUUUUUCUGCAAUUUUUACUAGGUAACGAAUUACUCAUGCUUUUAGUAUUUGCAGUAAGCACGAUGUUGUGGGCACAUAAAUACUCCUCCUAUAUUGAAGCUUCAAUUUUGUGCAAGGUAACAUUUUGUAGUCUUAAAUUUAUGUAGAUAAUGGGUAUGUUAAGGACUUCAGGAAUUUUAAUGCCACCAAAAGGGUUGCAUAUGUUGAUCUCUCUCGAUGCUUUUUUUUUCAUUUUACUUUGAAAUUCUAUUAAGUCUAGAGGACUUUGAAUAUGAUAUAGAGAGGAGAUGACGUUUUAUCUCAUACUUGGUUAAGUAACUCCCUUUGUAUUGUUACAAACAAAAUUGGAACAAAUAGAAUCAAUGAACAUACAACUAAAGAUUAGUUAACCCUUGAGUCCAUGUAUGUCUGUACUCGUCAAUACUGGCCUCUUUCUUUUUUCUCAUUUUAGUGAGUUAUUGGUUAUGUAAGGCAAUACCUCUCAUAACCUACUAUUUUAUACUCUUUUUUGAAGAACACAGUAGUACUCCGUAAAGUAGCGAUGCAAAUAGUAGUACUUUUACUGCGUCACUAACAAAGUGAUAAGAUCUUUAAGCCAAACAAAAUUAGGGAAAGAAAGAGGAUAAGAGAAGCUAAUCAACAUGUUAACAAUAGCUAUCUCCUAAUCAUGUGCUUCAUCUAGAAUCUAUGUGCUCGAGGUAGUGUGUCCUUCCACAAGUUUCUCUUGAUCAAAUGCAUCUAUAUGUUGUCCAUCUAGGGUUCAAAUAAUUCCCCAUUCAAUUAACUAUUAAAGUAAAUUUCUUUAUGUUUUUCUGCUAUUUGUCUAUGUUAAGAUCCUCAUUCGAUGAAAGAAGCUCAUGAUAAGGAUGCCAAAUCCAUGAUCAUAUGGAAAUGGCCGAGAAACAAGCACUGUUGUUGCAAUGGUGCCUCAAAUUUUGACAGGAAACAAGUGAUCGUCAUCUUGCAAACACAAACCAUGUCAACAAGAUCUUAAAUGCAUGGUCAAGUUUUACCCCUUAUUAGAGUUCUUGGCAAGUGAAAAGAUGUGGUUCAUCCUUUUUUAUAUUUUUUUAAAAGGGUAAGCCGCAAAGCUGUAUUGCUCAUUUAUGUUUCUUUGUGUAUUUUUUUAAUAAAAGUAAGGUAAUAUUUACGUU